UGCUUUCCCACAUGAGUUAUCAAGGA
rnacentral:piRNA from 1 species